AAGUGUGUAACAAGUACUGCUAAUACUUAAUACCAGAUAUAACCUUCUGGCACCCUUA
rnacentral:tRNA from 1 species